UAGCAUUUCCUCGCUUGAGCAUCGCAGUAAUUUUUGUACCCUUUGGUCUCCCACAGCUGGUAUACCAAAAGAAAACGCCAGCACAAAACCCAGCCAAGCUCCUUGGAAAUGUAAAUAGACCGGAACCACUGGUGUCCUCUUAACACAGCAUCAAUCACUGCUGGGUGCUGGAAGUGGCAGCACAUUCGUUGCAGUCCAGGCAGCCAUUGCGGGCAGCAGAUGGAGAGGGUUUAAGACCUUGUAGCACUGUUUUGAAGCUUCUCUGCAGAAGAUGGAGCACAGAUGGAGUGUGCUUUGACCUGCUCACUCAGUUUACAGUAGGUUCAGUGUCUCGGUGUUCAGAGUGCCAUGGGGAGUAAAUAUGCUGAGUGGGAUGCAGUCCCUGCCCAAAGAUUGAGCCAGAGAAGAGACUGCAAGAAGAGACCAAGACUACCAAGUGUCUCCCACCUGGCAAGCAAGUAAAGAGGGACGUAAGAAGAUCAGAGGCACCACAAAAUGCCAUCAGCUCCCUCGCUUUCUAACAUCCUGCUAAGAUGCCAAACGCAUGACUUUUGUGUUGGUCUGCUGAAAUGACAAAUGACGUGGGGUAAGUGAGUUUAACAUCAGACUGAGUGAAGGAAGGGCAGUUAGUUGUGUGGUCCGGCCCAUAAAUAGUUUCCAGAAGCCUGCUGGCAAUCUGACACUGCUUUAUUACUUGGACUGUGCUAAUUAUAAGCCACUGCAGUGGGAGAGUAAGGAGAAUGAGUG
rnacentral:lncRNA from 13 species